AGAGCGGGAAAAUUUGAAUAUAUGUAAAAGUUCACGCGCAAAGUUAAACAGCGCCACUUUGCGGAAGUUAACGGAAUUACGGAUCGAUAGAAAAUAAGAAGCAAUAGAAAAUAAAAAGCAAUAGAAGAUAUUCACCGAAUAAUCGUCAUCCUGUUAAAGAGAACAAAAAUGGAUUUCAACGUGAAGAAAUUGGUUAAGGAUGCUGGUGCUGCAUUGAGCAGAGUUGUACAGCUAACAGAAGAAACGUUAGGUACAUCUGAGAAAACUGAAUUAGAUGCACAUUUAGAACAUCUCGCUGAAAGAGCAAAUGCAACUAAAACGUGGACAGAAAAAAUUCUCAGGAAUAUGGAAGCUGUACUUACUCCUAAUCCAGGAAAUAGAAUUGAAGAUUUCUUUUAUGAAAAAAUUGAUAAAAAGAAACCCAACAGACUUAGCAAUCUCGAAUACGUAGGCAUCGAUAUGAUAGAAGCUGGAAAUGAUUUUGGUCCUGGUAUCGCUUACGGUAGCUCUUUGAUAAAAGUUGGUCAGUGUCAACAAAAGUUAGGUCAAAUUGAAAGAGAUUUUAUUGGAAUAGCAGCCAAUUGUUAUAUACAACCAUUAAGAAAAUUUUUAGAUGGAGAAAUGAAAACUGUUAGCAAGGAAAUGGCUAUAUUAGAAACCAAAAGGUUGGAUUUAGAUGCAUGUAAAAAUCGAGUAAGAAAAGCAAGAAGCAUGGUGGGCCAACAGAGUGACUCUGGCGUUUCACCCGAAGUAUUACUCGAUCAGGCAGAGAGGGAGCUGAGGGUGGCACAAUCGGAAUUUGAUCGGCAAGCAGAAAUUGCUAAGUUACUUUUAGAAGGAGUAACUAGUUCUCAAGCUGGACAUUUGAGAUGUUUACAUGAAUUCGUUGAAGCACAAGCACGUCAUUACGCUCAAUGUCAUGCGACUAUGCAAGAAUUGCAACGUGAGCUUGCUGGGGCACGUCAGCCGAGUCCUUUGCUCAGAGUCAACAGCGAGGAAGUGAUCGAGCUAACACCCUCACCCACUACUCCAUCCCAAAAUCUAUCUAUAAAUAAUGCUCUCGCUGAUUCAACCUUAACUGGGGGUCCCUAUCACUCGACCGCCUCAACAACAAAUCCUACUGCACAAGUGGAAAAUGGUCAAGAUCGUGCAAGAGUAGUCUGUGAUUAUGAUGCUAGGGAUUCAACCGAGCUUAGUGUCAUGCAAGACGAGGUAACCAAAUUUGUGAUUUAGGUAGAUGACAGCAUGCGUUCCAUGUAUCCAUAAACAAAAGGCAUGAUAUAUUCGUCAUGAACUGUUACACUAUAAUCAAGUUUAUAAAGAAUAAUAUAAGAAGUUCCAUGUGUUAAUACUCAAAUGGAAGUGAUCUAGGAUAAUAAAUUUCUAUUGUAGAAGAAUUGGCAUUAUACUUAUCAUGCGACAAAUAGAUGCAUGAAAAAAUAAUAUUAAUUAACUUUUAAAUAGAUUAAAAUAAUUUUAUAAAUAUAUAUAUA
rnacentral:misc_RNA from 1 species